rnacentral:misc_RNA from 1 species
AAGUCGUAACAAGGUUUCCAUAGGUGAACCUGCGGAAGGAUCAUUAUUGAAUAAACCUGGCUUGGUUGUUGCUGGUCUUUUCGGAGACAUGUGCACGCCUUGUCAUCUUUAUAUUUCCACCUGUGCACCUUUUGUAGACUUGAAGACAGUUUUCCGAGGCAACUCGGUCGUGAGGAAAUGCUUUAAAUGGCUUUCCUUGAUUGUCUUCAAGCCUAUGUUUCAUAUACACCAUAAGAAUGUAACAGAAUGUCAUUAUUAGACUUAUGUCUUAUAAACUAUAUACAACUUUCAGCAACGGAUCUCUUGGCUCUC